AUGAAAGUGAUUCGAGGCGGCCGAGCCUGGGCAGCUGCCCUAGCUGGCCGGACGCUGGCUCCGCCAGCUGGAUGUUUAAGAUUUGUUGGUCAGACCCAGGUUUUGAACUCUGGUUGUGGCUGCAGUUAUGCUGUGACUCUUGAUAUUACGGAUAAAUGCAGAGGAAUGUGGUUGAUGCCGCUGCGAUGCUUUUGCAAAGGCCUCCAAAACCUUCAUAUUGCAUCUGCUAUACAGCUGCAAAGGCCUCCAGAACCUUCAUAUUGCGGCUGCCAUCGUGGUUGUGGACCGUAA